rnacentral:rRNA from 1 species
UACGGAGGGGGCUAGCGUUGUUCGGAAUUACUGGGCGUAAAGCGCGCGUAGGCGGAUCUGCAAGUCGGGGGUGAAAUCCCGAGGCUCAACCUCGGAACUGCCUUCGAUACUGCGGGUCUCGAGUCCGGGAGAGGUGAGUGGAAUUCCCAGUGUAGCGGUGAAAUGCGUAGAUAUUGGGAGGAACACCAGUGGCGAAGGCGGCUCACUGGACCGGUACUGACGCUGAUGCGCGAAAGCGUGGGGAGCAAACGGG